rnacentral:rRNA from 1 species
UAGGGAAUCUUCGGCAAUGGGGGGAACCCUGACCGAGCAACGCCGCGCGAGUGAAGAAGGUUUUCGGAUCGUAAAGCUCUGUUGUUAAGGAAGAACGAGUGUGAGAAUGGAAAGUUCAUACUGUGACGGUACUUAACCAGAAAGGGACGGCUAACUACGUGCCAGCAGCCGCGGUAAUACGUAGGUCCCGAGCGUUGUCCGGAUUUAUUGGGCGUAAAGCGAGCGCAGGCGGUUAGAUAAGUCUGAAGUUAAAGGCAGUGGCUCAACCAUUGUAGGCUUUGGAAACUGUUUAACUUGAGUGCAGAAGGGGAGAGUGGAAUUCCAUGUGUAGCGGUGAAAUGCGUAGAUAUAUGGAGGAACACCGGUGGCGAAAGCGGCUCUCUGGUCUGUAACUGACGCUGAGGCUCGAAAGCGUGGGGAGCGAACAGGAUUAGAUACCCUGGUAGUCCACGCCGUAAACGAUGAGUGCUAGGUGUUAGGUCCUUUCCGGGACUUAGUGCCGCAGCUAACGCAUUAAGCACUCCGCCUGGGGAGUACGACCGCAAGGUUG